GACAGAGGUGCCGAGCGUUAGGCGGAAUCACUGGGCUUAAAGCGUGUGUAGGCGGACUUCUAAGUACCUUGUGAAAUCCCACGGCUUAACCGUGGAACUGCUUGGUAUACUGGUUGUCUUGGGCCAUCUAGGGGCUACCGGAACAAACGGUGGAGCGGUGAAAUGCGUAGAUAUGUGGAGGAACACCGAUGGCGAAGGCAGCCCCCUGGGUCAAAACUGACGCUCAUGCACGAAAGCGUGGGGAGCAAACAGG
rnacentral:rRNA from 1 species